AACUCAAACCAACUUUGGAGUUGUCUUGUCUGAUUUGGAGAGUCAUCAUUCCUGGUCUUCCCUUUUAAAGGCCACUGAUGAAGAACAGGCGGUGACUGGAUGAAUGCUGGUCAAAGAAGUGAACGUCCUUUCCCCUAAACUGAUGCAGCAGUGGUUUUAAAGGAGGACGCUGCCCUGGAUGAUGUAGAAGAUGUUACAUGUGCUGAUGGGGCUUCUUUAUGACUACAUCAAUUAUGCUAAAGAGAUCAUGAAAAUUGACUGUGAUGCUUGAUCUGUAUUCAUGGACUAUGAAACAAACUGUAAGUGUAUAUGUAUUUGUAAAAACAAUGUUAAAUGCUUUUUCUGUGUUGUUUAGUAGAAGAGUUUACACUCUGUCAUUCAUACACAUGCUCACAUUCUUUCACACACACACACACACACACACACGUCUGUUAAAUGUUAUAAUA